ACGGGGGGCCUCGGGAGGCAGCAGUAGGGAAUCUUCCACAAUGGACGCAAGUCUGAUGGAGCAACGCCGCGUGAGUGAAGAAGGUUUUCGGAUCGUAAAGCUCUGUUGUUGGUGAAGAAAGAUAGUGAGAGUAACUGCUCAUUAUUUGCCGGUAAUCAACCAGAAAGUCACGGCUAACUACGUGCCAGCAGCCGCGGUAAUAAU
rnacentral:rRNA from 1 species